rnacentral:rRNA from 1 species
CCUACGGGUGGCAGCAGUGAGGAAUAUUGGUCAAUGGACGAGAGUCUGAACCAGCCAAGUAGCGUGAAGGAUGACUGCCCUAUGGGUUGUAAACUUCUUUUAUAGGGGAAUAAAAUGGGCCACGUGAGGGAUGUUGUAUGUACCAUAUGAAUAAGGAUCGGCUAACUCCGUGCCAGCAGACGCGGUAAUACGGCGGGUCCGAGCGUUUUCCGGCUUUAUUGGGGUUAAAGGGAGCGUAGGUGGAUUGUGCAGUCAGUUGUGAAAGUAUGCGGCUCCACCGUAAAAUUGCAGUUGAAACUGGCAGUCUUGCGUACAGUCGAGGUCUGCGGAAUUCGUGGUGUAGCGGU